rnacentral:rRNA from 1 species
AUUCGCCCUUAGAGUUUGAUCCUGGCUCAGGAUGAACGCUAGCUACAGGCUUAACACAUGCAAGUCGAGGGGCAGCGGGAUUGAAGCUUGCUUCAAUUGCCGGCGACCGGCGCACGGGUGAGUAACGCGUAUCCAACCUUCCGUACACUCAGGGAUAGCCUUUCGAAGGAAAGAUUAAUACCUGAUGGUAUGAUGAGAUUGCAUGAUAGCAUCAUUAAAGAUUUAUCGGUGUACGAUGGGGAUGCGUUCCAUUAGGUAGUAGGCGGGGUAACGGCCCACCUAGCCAACGAUGGAUAGGGGUUCUGAGAGGAAGGUCCCCCACAUUGGAACUGAGACACGGUCCAAACUCCUACGGGAGGCAGCAGUGAGGAAUAUUGGUCAAUGGACGAGAGUCUGAACCAGCCAAGUAGCGUGAAGGAUGAAGGUCCUACGGAUUGUAAACUUCUUUUAUAAGGGAAUAAACCCUCCCACGUGUGGGAGCUUGUAUGUACCUUAUGAAUAAGCAUCGGCUAACUCCGUGCCAGCAGCCGCGGUAAUACGGAGGAUGCGAGCGUUAUCCGGAUUUAUUGGGUUUAAAGGGAGCGCAGACGGGUCGUUAAGUCAGCUGUGAAAGUUUGGGGCUCAACCUUAAAAUUGCAGUUGAUACUGGCGUCCUUGAGUGCGGUUGAGGUGUGCGGAAUUCGUGGUGUAGCGGUGAAAUGCUUAGAUAUCACGAAGAACUCCGAUUGCGAAGGCAGCACACUAAUCCGUAACUGACGUUCAUGCUCGAAAGUGUGGGUAUCAAACAGGAUUAGAUACCCUGGUAGUCCACACGGUAAACGAUGGAUACUCGCUGUUGGCGAUAUACUGUCAGCGGCUUAGCGAAAGCGUUAAGUAUCCCACCUGGGGAGUACGCCGGC